rnacentral:lncRNA from 10 species
GCAGGGCUACAAACAGUAGAGCUGUCUUUGGUCCCUCCCUGGAGGCGCUUCAAUUGCUGGCGAGAUGGCUGCCUCAAGGCAACUUUGCUCACAGAGGAUCACAGGAAAAAGCUCUUCAGUUCGAGAGGGACACAGAAUCACUUAUCUAUUUCUCAAGACCAAAGAAGACAUCGGACCCUUGUCAAACUCCAGCACCUAUUGGGGGAACCUAAGGAGGCAUAAGUGCCAUGUUAACCUUUGGGCCAAGAGGCAGUAGAGUGCAAGAGAUGGGCUCAGUUCUUGUCCACCUUACUAACCAAGCAAAUUUUAUCUUUUCAAAACUCAAUGUCUUCCUCUGUAAAAUCAAGUUAGUCUCACAGCGUUAACCUCACAGGAUUGUGGAGAGGGCAAGAUGAUGAUGUAUGCAAAGCACUUAUUCUAGUGCUGAUAGAGAAUAAGGAUUAAAAUGUUUUCUCUUUUCUCUCUUCUCCUUUAUAUAUCUGUACAGUGCUCUAGAAUUAACAGAUGAUAUUCCCAUUUACAAAGCAUGUUCAGACACAGUCUCAUUAACAAUACUUCUCACAAUAAUACUGCAAGGUAGCUAUUAUUAUCCUCAGGCUAAAGAGAGGGAAACUAAGGCCAGUCUAACCCUGCACUCUCGGGAGACUGUAGAACUGUGUCAGUGCUGAUGGCAGCUGAAGGCUUCAGGACUUGAGUACAGCUGGAAGAUCCAAGAUGUAAAACAAAUAUCUAUGAUUAGUUACUUGAUUUGGCUGAAAAUUUCCAUAGUUCAUCUACGGGCUGAGAAGAUUUCUGAUUCCCUCUUUGGCAGCGUAGGCUCCAAGCACCUGUUUACUGACUGCUCUUCACAAGGCACAGCUGCCCACCUCAUGCAUGUCAACUCUGGGGUAUGAUGAAAAUGUUUGUGGGUAUCAUAAAGUUCUGGUCUCCUCCUCCCUGUGCAAAAGUGUGGCAGGGAGAUGGUGACUUGGUAGGUUGUAACCUGUGGUAAACACAAACGAAGCUGUGUGUGUGUGUGUGUGUGUGUGUUGUGUGUGUGGUGGAAGGUGACUUGAGAGAGAGGGAGCAGGGGGUGGUUACAGAUGGACACACACCUGGGACAUAUUGGACCAUGUGCUCAGUAACCCUCAUCAGACCAAGCAUUUCCAGCAAUUAACAGGUCUGUCACAACCUGACCGCUCUCCUACUGACUUCUCUAGCCCCUAUUUUCACUGCUCACUUGGCACAGUAUUGUUUUGUACUAUUAUUUAAUUUGUGAGAGCCCAACUAUACUACAAGAUUUAGAAGAACAACACGGAAUUAUAUGUCUCGGUAUGGACUCUAGUGCUUUGCACACUGCUCUGUACAUAGGUGGUAUUCAAUAAACUCCUUAUGUGACUUGAUGG